CUCCUCCCAAUGUACGCGUUGUGUGACUUUUCUACUUCCUCUCCCUAGAACUCCUUCCAUUUCAAACCGUAGAAUUCUAUCUCUUUGUUUCGUCCAAAUCGUUCCAUGGGAUUUCGAAAAAGAAGCUUCGAUCUGGUUCCUUCCAACUCCCCUCGUCCCAAAUUUCAACCCCGAUCUACAGAGAGAUAAAGAGAUGGCGGAUGAGAGAGAGGACGUCGAACUCGUACUUUGCUUGAAGUUCUACCUUCACUUCGUCAAUUGUGAUUGUUAUUGAAUAUUCAGAAGAAUGGAGUUUACGGAUGCUUAUAAGCAGACUGGGCCCUGCUGUUUUUCUCCCAAUGCUCGCUACAUUGCUGCUGCAGUUGAUUAUCGUCUGGUGAUUCGAGACACUCGGUCAUUUAAGUGGGCUCUGAACGCUGCGAAAUUAUAAAAAAAAUCCUCCACUGCAAAAUUGCUCCAUCGAUGGGGAAAGGCGAGAUGGAGCUGCUGACCUUUGAAUUGAACCAUGAUUCUUCCAGUUUGUUGCUUCACCUACG